rnacentral:rRNA from 1 species
CCAGACUCCUACGGGAGGCAGCAGUGGGGAAUAUUGCACAAUGGGGGAAACCCUGAUGCAGCGACGCCGCGUGAGUGAAGAAGUAUUUCGGUAUGUAAAGCUCUAUCAGCAGGGAAGAAAAUGACGGUACCUGAGUAAGAAGCCCCGGCUAACUACGUGCCAGCAGCCGCGGUAAUACGUAGGGGGCAAGCGUUAUCCGGAUUUACUGGGUGUAAAGGGAGCGUAGACGGCGAUACAAGUCUGAAGUGAAAGCCCGGGGCUCAACCCCGGGACUGCUUUGGAAACUGUGUUGCUGGAGUGCUGGAGAGGCAAGCGGAAUUCCUAGUGUAGCGGUGAAAUGCGUAGAUAUAACGAAGAACCCCGAUUGCGAAGGCAGCCUGCCGCAGCGUUACUGACGCUGAAGCUCGAAAGCGCGGGUAUCGAACAGGAUUAGAUACCCCCGUAGUA